rnacentral:rRNA from 1 species
UACGAAGGGGGCUAGCGUUGCUCGGAAUCACUGGGCGUAAAGGGUGCGUAGGCGGGUCUUUAAGUCAGGGGUGAAAUCCUGGAGCUCAACUCCAGAACUGCCUUUGAUACUGCUAAUCUUGAGUUAGGGAGAGGUUGAUGGAAUUCCAGGUGUAGCGGUGAAAUGCGUAGAUAUCUGGAAGAACACCAGUGGCGAAGGCGGUCAACUGGCCCUUAACUGACGCUCAUGCACGAAAGCGUGGGUAGCGAACAGG